GUUGGAAGAGGAAUAUAUAUGUAUAAUGUAUAAUAAAAGCACAAAUUUAAUUCAAAACUAUCAAUGAAUGCUUGCAGUACAUGAAAUCAAAUUUCAAGUACAUAUAACAUGCCAAGACGGUAACAUUUGGUUAUAAACAGUUGGAGCAAGAAAAAUCACCAGCUGCAAUAUUUUGGAGAUAGUUUUUAAAACUUUUAGCCAACUUUAGAGCAAGC
rnacentral:lncRNA from 1 species